rnacentral:rRNA from 1 species
GAUGAACGCUGGCGGCGUGCCUAAUACAUGCAAGUCGAGCGAACGGACGAGAAGCUUGCUUCUCUGAUGUUAGCGGCGGACGGGUGAGUAACACGUGGAUAACCUACCUAUAAGACUGGGAUAACUUCGGGAAACCGGAGCUAAUACCGGAUGAUAUUUUGAACCGCAUGGUUCAAAAGUGAAAGACGGUCUUGCUGUCACUUAUAGAUGGAUCCGCGCUGCAUUAGCUAGUUGGUAAGGUAACGGCUUACCAAGGCAACGAUGCAUAGCCGACCUGAGAGGGUGAACGGCCACACUGGAACUGAGACGCGGUACAGACUCCUACGGGAGGCAGCAGUAGGGAAUCUUCCGCGAUGGGCGAAAGCCUGACGGAGCAACGCCGCGUGAGUGAUGAAGGUCUUCGGAUCGUAAAACUCUGUUAUUAGGGAAGAACAUAUGUGUAAGUAGCUGUGCACAUCUUGACGGUACCUAAUCAGAAAGCCACGGCUAACUACGUG